CACGUAGGCACCAAGCGUUGUCCGGAUUUAUUGGGCGUAAAGAGCUCGUAGGCGGUUCGGUAAGUCGGGUGUGAAAACUUUGGGCUUAACCCAAAGCGUGCAUCCGAUACUGCUGUGACUUGAGUUCGGUAGGGGAGUGGGGAAUUCCUAGUGUAGCGGUGAAAUGCGCAGAUAUCAGGAGGAACACCGGUGGCGAAGGCGCCACUCUGGGCCGAAACUGACGCUGAGGAGCGAAAGCGUGGGUAGCAAACAGG
rnacentral:rRNA from 1 species